rnacentral:snRNA from 1 species
CAAAAGGGCUUCGCGUCUUAUGCGCGGCUGGGCCGGCAGGUCCAAGCUUGGAAUGGUUAUCAAGUCAUUCCGGAAGCAUAAUCUUUGCGGUGGGAUGGCUCGUAAAUGAUGGGCCGCCUGA